GACGAACGCUGGCGGCGUGCUUAACACAUGCAAGUCGAACGGAAAGGCCCUGCUUUUGUGGGGUGCUCGAGUGGCGAACGGGUGAGUAACACGUGAGUAACCUGCCCUUGACUUUGGGAUAACUUCAGGAAACUGGGGCUAAUACCGGAUAGGAGCUCCUGCUGCAUGGUGGGGGUUGGAAAGUUUCGGCGGUUGGGGAUUGACUCGCGGCUUAUCAGCUUGUUGGUGGGGUAGUGGCUUACCAAGGCUUUGACGGGUAGCCGGCCUGAGAGGGUGACCGGCAACAUUGGGACUGAGAUACGGCCCAGACUCCUAAGGGAGGCAGCAGUGGGGAAUAUUGCACGAUGGGCGGAAGCCUGAUGCAGCAACGCCGCGUGCGGGAUGACGGCCUUCGGGUUGUAAACCGCUUUCGCCUGUGACGAAGCGUGAGUGACGGUAAUGGGUAAAGAAGCACCGGCUAACUACGUG
rnacentral:rRNA from 1 species